UUAGGGCUUCUUAAUAAACUUUAAAAAUUUGACAGGCAUUGGGGAUCCACUUAUCUUAAUGCUACCCAAGACAAGCCUAACUUCCUUUGCUUAUCAACCUACUAACCUGGAGUGGCCUCCUCUUUCUUUGGUCUCUCUCUGCCUCCUAUAUAUGGGGACAAUUUCAUAUUACAUGCAGAAAGCUCUGAGCUGAUUGUGACCACAAUAAUUGGUUAGCCAGUCAGAAGACGGAAGAAAUGAGCCUUGAGAGUGAGGCAUCUGUGAGGAAGUCCCAACUUGGGCAUGGGUCUUUAUGGGAGGAAGGGUAGUGUAUAUGUCAGAUGCUUGUGGACCACCAUACAGUUAUUUUGCUCUGAGGCUUUGGCAAAAAUUGUUCCUACAAAAGUGCUUCACUUCAAGGAAAUUCAUGAAAAAUAUUUCUGACAGGACACCCUACAGGCUUUGCUGGAACACUUAUGAGGGAGAAGAUGGGCAAUGACCCUACAGAAAGCUCAAGGCCCAGACACUGCUGUAAGGUUUUGGGAGUUGUUUGGGAUGAUUGGAACCCCUGCUGAAGCACCCAAUACCAUGAAGAAGUUGUGGGAAGCAGCCAUUGCUCUGACUCUCACUGUGAUCAACAAGCUAUCCUGUUGAGAACACCAACCCACCACACCUGAGAAAGGAAUUAUCUACAAGAAUUUGCAGUGGGACCUCCUGCUGGGAUAGUUACUUUGUAUCCCUCUGUGAGGGAGAGCUAUUCCAUUUCCACCAGGAUCCUAUUGUCCUGCUCCAACCUGGACAUGAUAAAAGUCACUAUACCAGGAAUGGAACGUGCACCACCAAAGGGGAGAAGAUGAAGGUCCUGGUCUGUCAUAGCCUGCCCUUAGUGCUCAUGCCUGAAAAUGCUGCUUCCUCCCACCAACAAGCAUGGUAUAUACAACCAGGUCAACUUUCUAAACCUCCCGACCUCUCUCUCCUCAAGGCCAGGUGGGUGCAUUUUCUCACUGGUUUGAUCAUUUGGCUGCCAUCUUUGUUCCCUCCUUUGGUAUGGAGGAUGUUAUAGCACACAUAGAAAUCCUUACUAAAUUCACCCAGCAAGACUUACGUGAUAGUUAACAAAGACUGUCUUUACUGAACACUGAAAUGUCUCUGAUGAGAAAAGCUAUCCUCCAAAAUAGAAUGGCUAUUGACAUUAUUAUUGCCUUACAAGGAAGCACCUGUGUCAUUAUCCAAACAGAAUGUUGUGUGUUCAUAUUUGAUGAAUAUAUUAAUGUAUCAUGUUUAUUAAGUCACAUAAGGAGGGACACCUGGGUGGCUCAGCGGUUGAGCAUCUGCUUUUGGCUCAGGGUGUGAUCCCGGGAUUCGGGAUUGAGUCCCACAUCGGGCUCCUUGCAGGGAGCCUGCUUCUCUCACUGCCUGCAUCUCUGCCUCUCUCAUGAAUAAAUAAAUAAAAUCUUAAAAAAAAAAAAAAGUCACAUAAGGACACAGUGAGCUCCCCGAGUGAUCUGACUCCCAGCUUAGGGGAGUUGAUGAAUCAGUGGUUUGGAUCACAGGCUCUUAUGGAAAGUUAUCAGUGAUUUUGGAAUUAUUAUCUUAACCUGUGUUUUCUCUUACAUGUGCCUGUGUUGGUGUGGUAUCUGCUCCACUGCAGCCAGAGAGCCACCAGCUGAGCCACCUCAUGCUAGUGAAACUCCUUGCCAACUGCUCAGGACCCAUUGUGAAAGAAGGGUGUGUGAGACUGUAAAGGGCCAGUCAUGAGGAGUGGAAUGUUGGGGAAGGUCAUUGAAAAGACAUAACUGCCAGUUCACCUGUGAGCUCAACCUAAACGCUCAGAGGCUCCUCACCAACCCCUUCCUUGGAAUGUGGGUUUCACUUUCCUUUCCUACUCCCAGAGGCCAUUCCAAGGACCUAGUCUUGAUAGUGUGAUGUGAUAUUGAGAAUACUUAAAUGAUAUACAUGACUAAACCUAAUUAAGCCCUCUUUAUAAACUUUGUAAGAUUUGGCAGGCAGAGGCAGGGAUCCACUCAUCUUGCUGCCACCCAAGAUAAGCUUCAUUUGUAAGUUCCCUCUCCUUGUUAAAACUAUUACCUACCAACCUGGAAUGGUCUCCUUUUUCUUUGGUCUUUCCCUGUUCUCCAUAACAAUUAGUCACUUUCAGAUUACACCAGGGAAACUCCAGAGAGGGUGGUAAACCAAGACAGGGACAUUUGCUGGAACAGGAAACUUGCUCUAAAAGAUCACUGAUUUUAUAAAUCUAUAUUAAAUCAGAAGGAAAGGUUAAUUAGUCCAAGUACAAUAAGAGUAGUAAGUAUACCAUUACCAUAUGCAGAAUCUAAACUUGAAUAAUGAAAAUGCUUCGUUUCUUCUAAGCCUGCAAACUUCUUUUUAGAUCGAGCCUGCCAGAGGAGCUCUUUGGGAGACCUGGUACCUCAUACAUGGAAGUAGAGGUGAGAUUCUUCCUUUCACCUUUGCUAGGUGGUGAGCAGGAAGUGCAUAAUUACAGCAUCUACAAAAGAAGGAAGAAUUUUUUUUAUUCAAAAGUUUAAAAAAUUACUUGUAUAAAUGUGUUCUAGUAGUGCUUUUUAAAUCACAAAUACUUGGAACUACGCAAAUGGCUAAAAGAGGGCUAUGACUUAAAACUAUAGCAUAUUAACAUGAAUAAAUGCUAUAGAUUAAUUGGAAAAAAUGAUAAAUAUAUAGAAAAUGUCAAUACUAGUUAUGCCUAAAUGAAAUAAAGUUAGGUGAAAAUACCAGAAAAUAAGUUACACGUACACUGGUUGCAGCUGAGUGGAAUUAUAUGUACAUACAUGAACAAAUAUGGGAGAAUUUGAGGUUAGUAGUUUAGAAUUUAAUAUUCUUUUUUUUUUUUAUACAAUUGCUCAUGUUUCUAAAAGAGCAAGUUUACUUAAAAGAUGGGCAGGGGACCUGGGUAGACAUUUUUCUAAAGAAGACAUACAGAUGGCCAAGAGACACAUGAAAAGAUGCUCAACAUUACUCAUCAUGAGGGAAAAAUGCAAAUCAAAACCACAAUAAGAUAUCAUCUCGCGGGGAA